rnacentral:lncRNA from 1 species
AUGGGUGGAAGUCAGGGACCCGUGGUCGUCGGUGCCGCGCCCGCAGGUGCUCCUGGGGGAGGGAGCCAUGGAGGCCUGCCGGGCUCCACUGGGCUGCGGCUUCUAGGGCUUUCCACAAGCUACAGCGUGCCACUCAAGACUUUUGAACAGGACAGCCUUGGUCUAAUAACGAUUCAGAGAGAUUCUGAGGACGUAGAGCUGAGGACCCUGGGCGCGGCCCAUGGAGGAGAUGCCUCUCCACUUGGCAGCAGGGGGUGGCUGCCGGUUAGGGGACAGGAAGCCAGGCGGUGCUUGGGAGUGGGCGCCAUCCAGGUGGUCCUGGCUCGGUUUGAGCAGAUGGGCCCCCGGCCACAGUUCGACACGGGGAGGGCAGCCUCCAGGGCGCGGAGCAAGCUUGGCCCCUGUGACAAAGGGGCAACCCCUCCCGGGAGUCACCGGGGCACAGCGCCCCCGCCCCAGUGCCACCGGGGUCAGGAGGGGCCGUGGGCGGUCCUCCCUCUUGCUCCCGGGGGCUUCGGGUGCCACCUGGAUGGGCCCAGUGCAGAGCCCCUUCCUCCAGUGCCUGGGCAACUCCCAGGCCCCCCGGUGCAGACCGCACUUGGUCCAGGGCUCCCCUCUGCUGCCUGCCUCCCCCUCAGACCUGCGAGCCCAUCCUGGGUGCCUCUCGCCGCCCCCCCUCCCCGCGGACGGUUGGGACGCCAGGCCUCGGGCCCACGGCACAGCCCUCGCUGGGGAUGCAGGCUGCUGGCGAGGCCCCACGCAGGUCAGCCUCCAGGGCCGCACAGCCUGGGGGGAGGGAACCCUGAAAUAGAAUCCCCCCGCCCCCGCGGGCCGCGGCCUCUGUCCCUGCCCGCCAGCCUGCUCGCCAGCCUCAGCCCGCCCCCCUCACCACGCACCCUGCAAGCUGUACCUGCAGCUGGUCUCAUGACACGUGGAUCCCGUGCCCACACACCCUGCUCGGCUGAGGCACUAACGGAGCCAGCGCCCACGCCCGCUCUCUGCCUCUGCGCCCCCUGCUCGCACUCCCACCGCCCACCGCCCACCCGCGGGUGCCAGGCCACGUCCUCCCGCCCGCCCAGCGCUGCUGCUCCCUGCCCUCUCCCUCGGCUGGAGGAGCCCGCAGGGCCCUGCCCCUGGCCGCUGUCUGCCCUCGCUGUGUGUCUGGCCUUCACCCUGCCCGGGCUCCCGAGGGCAGGGCUGUGCUGGCCCCUUCGGGCUCGGGGGCCGGCGCGGCCGGAAUGGGGACCAGCGCAGCUGUGCGGCUCGGGGCAGGCGGCUUACUUCCCUGAGCUCACUGUGCAGCGAGCGGCCCCCCCACGGCAGGGCCCCCGAAGCAGCCCUGGGAGGCGCCAUCUAGCUUGGCAGCCCCAUCACACGGAGUCUGCCAGCGAGCAGUGGGCACGGGCAGGGGGCAGGGCCGGGCUCCCGGGCUCUGGGCUCUCGGCUGCAGGCUCAGUCCCGGGAGAGCCGGCGGCGGCGCCCUCCCCGCUGGGCUCGGCCUCGAGUCGUCCUGGGACGCCACCACGAGGGUCGUAG